CUAUUUCGUUUGUUAUUUUCUCAAGAAAGAAGAACAAAUAUUUUUUGAAAGAAUUAUAAAAUUCUUUUCUUCUUAUCGAAUCAGUAAUGUGUCAACAAUCUUCAAUAUCACGCUGAGGCAGCGAAAAUAAAAUGAUAAUAAUGUUGACUCAACGAAACCUUGACCACGAAAAAUUAAUCACUCAUGGAAAUUUCAAAUUUUAGAGGAAUUUACGAGUUUCUCAUUUGUUCCAUUGUCGAAUGUUCGAGAUUCUACCAAGCAGAUCCGCGAUUAAUUCAACCGGAAGAUUCCUCCACCUUGUAGAAAAUUUUUUCUCGUCGAUGAACAUUUCGUCGUUCAACCUAGUGGCGUUCAUCGGAUCGAGAUCUGUAAUCGGCCAACCGUGAUCCACCGCAUGGUGACUUUUUUCUAAGAAACAAUGUACCUUUUGUGGACAGUCGAUGAUAUCGAGAUAUCGGUAGGAGAACUCGUUUUUUGUUUCUUAGUCCUACUUCCAUUUUGAAUGUCCUUCCUUUCUGAAUUCAUUAGCAUCUUGAUCUUGGCGGUUAGUUAAAAUUUCUUCUAGGAGUACUA